rnacentral:rRNA from 1 species
CGCUCGUAACACGGAGGAUGUCUCAUACGGUAAAGCGAAUGAUUAGAGGACAUUGGGGCCGAAACGACCUCAACCUAUUCUCAAACUAUAAAUGAGUGAGAUCGCCGGCUUUACCUGGUACACCGCGUGAACCGCGUGCGAAGCCGGCGACGGAACCCUAGGCGCUUAGUGGGCCAUUUUUGGUAAGCAGAACUGGCGCUGCGGGAUGAACCGAACGCCGAGUUAAGGCGCCGAAAUCGACGCGUAUUCAGAGACCAUGAAAGGCGUUGGUUGCUGAUGACAGCAGGACGGUGGCCAUGGAAGUCGGAAUCCGCUAAGGAGUGUGUAACAACUCACCUGCCGAAGCAACUAGCUCUGAAAAUGGAUGGCGCUGGAGCGUCGUGCCUAUACUCGGCCGUCGACGGCAUAGUGGGGCCAGUCGUCGCUCGCGGCGGCCGGUCCCGGCAAGCCUCGACGAGUAGGAUGGCACGGCGGUGUGCGUCGAAGGGCAGGUCGCGAGACCGCCUGGAGCCGCCGUCGGUGCAGAUCUUGGUGGUAGUAGCAAAUACUCGAGAGGGGCCCUCGGGGGCUGCCGUGGAGAAGGGUUUCUUGUGAACAGCCGUUGUCCAAGAGUCAGUCGAUCCUAAGCCCGGGGAGAGAUCCUCGUACCACGGGCGAAGGCGUUUUCGAAUCGCCCUUGGGGCGAAAGGGAAUCCGGUUCGUAUUCCGGAACCCGACGCGGAACCGCUCCCUAGUGUUCGGGGCUCUUUUGUCUCGUCUGGGUAACCAGAAUGAACUCGAAGAAGCCGCCGGGGGAUCUGGGUAGAGUUCUCUUUUCUCUGUGAGCGUUGUACGUCCCUGGAAUCCUCUAGCCGGGCGAUAGGGACGCGAGCGCGAAGAGCACCGCUCGUUGCGGCGGUGUCCGUGAUCCCCACGCGGACCUUGAAAAUUCGAGAGAGGGCCACGCGGAGUCUUCGCGUCGGUUCGUACCGAUAUCCGCAGCAGGUCUCCGAGGUGAGCAGCCUCUAGCCGCAUAGAAUAAUGUAGGUAAGGGAAGUCGGCAAAAUCGAUCCGUAACUUCGGGAUAAGGAUUGGCUCUGAGGAGCGUGGCGGAUCGGGUUCGGGUCGUCGUAGAAGCGUAGGCGGUGCUGGCAACACCCCGGCCGUCGCCCGUGCGUCUGGUCUUCGGGACCGGGAGCCUCGUGGCGGUUGCGGGCUCUUCGCCAUCCGCCGAUCGUGGAACCACUGAGCUUUGGUUACUGGUCGCGUCGCGGCUGCGUAGCCGGAUCGACCGCCAUGUAUCGGUCAACUCAGAACUGGCACGGACUAGGGGAAUCCGACUGUCUAAUUAAAACAAAGCAUCGCGAUGGCCCGGGACGGGUGUUGACGCGAUGUGAUUUCUGCCCAGUGCUCUGAAUGUCAACGUGAAGAAAUUCAAGCAAGCGCGGGUAAACGGCAGGAGUAACUAUGACUCUUUCAAGGUAGCCAAAUGCCUCGUCAUCUAAUUAGUGACGCGCAUGAAUGGAUUAACGAGAUUCUCAUCUGUCCCUAUCUACUAUCUAGCGAAACCACAGCCAAGGGAACGGGCUUGGAAAAAUCAGCGGGGAAAGAAGACCCUGUUGAGCUUGACUCUAAUCUGACAUUGUUCGGAGACAUGCCGAGGUGUAGCAUAAGUGGGAGUCGGGGUUCUAGGCGGGUGGUUUCGGCCGUUCGUCUCCCCGUCGACCUUGAAAUACCACUACUCGCAUCGUUUCCCCACUUACUCGGUAGAGCGGAACGCCCGGUUCCGGCCACAGGUGCGUCCGGCUGUCGGUCGUCGUCCCGUCGCGUUGUCGGUUUGCCGUCGGUUCGUCCGGCGUGCUACUAGCACGCGGCGCGGUCGCCGUGCCGUCGGCUUGUGCCCGUUCGUGCCGGGCCGCGGUUGAUUUUCCGGUAGCGUUAAACACCAGCCGUGGGCUCCGGGCGUCAAACACGGACCGCGUACGGCCGGCCGUCAAAAGUCGCCGUCCGCGUUCGCGGCGUUUCCGCGAGCCCAAACUCUGGUGCGAUCCGUAUUCCGAGGACACCGCCAGGUGGGGAGUUUGACUGGGGCGGUACAUCUGUCAAAAAAUAACGCAGAUGUCCUAAGGCCAGCUCAGCGAGGACGGAAACCUCGCGUAGAGCAAAAGGGCAAAUGCUGGCUUGAUCCCGGACGCUCAGUACGCGUAGGGACUGCGAAAGCAUCGGCCACUCGAUCCUCUCGUCCGCUGAAGAGUUUUCAGCGAGAGGUGUCAGAAAAGUUACCACAGGGAUAACUGGGCUUGUGGCGGGCCAAGCGUUCAUAGCGACGUCGCUUUUUGAUCCUUCGAUGUCGGCUCUUCCUAUCAUUGCGAAGCAAAAU